rnacentral:rRNA from 1 species
UACGGGGGGGGCAAGCGUUGUCCGGAAUUAUUGGGCGUAAAGAGCUCGUAGGCGGUUUGUCGCGUCGGCUGUGAAAACUCGGGGCUCAACCCCGAGCCUGCAGUCGAUACGGGCAGACUAGAGUGCUGUAGGGGAGACUGGAAUUCCUGGUGUAGCGGUGAAAUGCGCAGAUAUCAGGAGGAACACCGGUGGCGAAGGCGGCGCUCUGGGCCGGUACUGACACUGAGGAGCGAAAGCGUGGGUAGCAAACAGG